rnacentral:lncRNA from 1 species
CGGCGGAAUCAAUGCUUGCAGCAGCGCUCGCGAGGGCAGAUCCUCCCGGCUGUGUCCGGGACAGGAGCGGGUCGUCCCGGGGCCGCGGCCCUGCGCAGCCCCGCCGGGUCCUCCCGAGGAUCGCGACCGCCGACCCGCGGAGCCUGCUGGCCGCCGAGGGGAUGCACUCAGGGGGCUCCCAGGACGGAGCCACACCCCUGGGAGCCGCGGAGAGCCGCGGGGGGGGCGCUCGGAGGGAGCGGAGGCCGCCCCAGGAGAGGAGGCAGGGCGCUCCCCGCGGAGGGCGAGCCCGCCCCCAGGGCCCGGCGCCCCGGCCCCCGCCCCGGCCCCGGCCCCCACGCCCCGCCCCGCUCGAGGCGGCGCCGGGAGCCUCGCACUGACCUGCGAGCCCGCGCGCGGCGACCUCCCCUCCCGCGGCGCGCCGGCCCGGCCCGGACUGGAGCUGCGCUGAGCUCCCCGCCCGCGCCCCGCCCGCGCCCCGCCGCGCCCCGCCCCCGCCCCCGCCCCCGCCUCGGCGCCCCGCCCCCGCGCGGCCGUCCGGGGAGCGCAGGGCUCGAGCGCACCGGCUGCGGGAGGGCGGGCGGGAGCCGGGGCCGCGGAGCCGGCGGGACUGCGGGGCCCCCCGCCCCUCGGGCCGCACAGCCAAUGGCAGCGAGCGCGGCCCGCUCCCCGCUCCCCGCUCCCCGCCGCCGCCGCCGCCGCCGCUCCCGCCGGGGCCCGCGGGCGGGGAGGAGCUUGAGCCGGGGUCGGAGGGUCCCGGAGGGCGCGGAGGCGUUGGCGUUGGCGUUGGCGCCGGGAGCCGCGUGUGCGGAAGGCAGCUGUGGUGCCGUUACCUGUGUGUGUGUGGGGGGGGGGGGGGGGCAGCGGGCGGAGGCGUCCACUUUCUGCCAGUUUCUUCCCCUCGGGAACACCUGGGUCCCGCGGAGCCCCGACGCCGGGUCCGGAGCCGCGUCCUGCGGGGAGCGUGGCCGCGCGCGUCCCUCCCUUCACGCCUCAUCUCUCGCCCCUUCCGAAUACUCCGCCAAAUCGAGAGAUGAAAUGAAUCGGACGGCAGUUCCCAGCACUGCCAGGGACCGGGCAAAGGGCCAUAGAAUGAGCGGCAUGGAGAAGAGGGCGGACAGAGACCUGCUUCUCUUCCAACACAUUUCCGUUUGACACGUUCACAUGUCACUUUCAUGAGUUUGUUACAUUUGUCUAUCCCUCCGUGUUUUACCUUAGAUUUAUACUGAGCCUCCUCUCUAAUAGUAAUAUCCAUGAAAUCAUUGGUUUGUUAUAUACCAAUUGUAUUUCAGUGCAAAAUAAGUAAGUAAUAAAUAAGUAAUCUGUUUAGUCUUUUCUUGACAUUUCCUGAGCUUAAUUGCCUAGGACUGCUGUGAAAAAUGACCAUGACCUGUUAAAAAAAAAAAAAACUAAUAUGAGAGACAAAGCUGCUUUCAUCUUUAUUCUUGAUUUCGUAUAUAAAUGAUCUAGAGAAUGUUAAUUGUCAAAUUCACUUACAUAGAGUGUCUUCAAAAGUAGGUCAGUCUCACCACUCAAGUUCCUAGGAGUUCACAGGCAGUUUGGAGAAAUAGUUCUAGCUUCUAAUGAGCAUGAUCAUCCCACUUCCAGUCCUUUUCUGUCUUAUCAGAGAUGGAUAAGAUUGGUUUUGUGUUUUGUUUGUUUGUUUUAACUGUGGUAUUUGGAGUCAGAAUCAUUAAAUUCUGAUCCUGUCACUUAUGAUCUUUGUAACUAAGCCAAUCACUUCAUCUCUCUGGGUCUCAUUUUCCUUAUGUACAAAAUGGCAAUAAUAGUAUCCACAUUAAUAGGUUGUUUUAAAGUUUAAAUACACAUACAUGCAUACACACACACCGAGUUCCUAGCUAUUGUCUGGCAUGUAAUAAGUGCAUAAAAUUAUUAGUUCUGUCUUUCCUUCUUUGCUGUCAUCAAAGCAACAUUUAGAAUUACUUUGUCCAUUCUCUAAUUUCCAUCUAGGUUAUCAGGAAGCUUGUGUUCUGUUCCUAACACUCCCUAGACUAGUUCUCUGCUCCCUUUCCCUGAUUCCUUCAUCUCUGCCCUGUUGUGAUGCUCCCUCUCCAAACUCUAUCCUAUCUCUCAUGACUUAAUCUCUCUUCUUUCCAGCAGUUCUCACAUUCCAUCUGCCACAAUGUCAGAGCUCUGUGCCCUGUAGAGAAAGUGAGAUUUACUCUAAGAAGAGAGUAGGUCAUAAAAAUUCUUAAUACUUUUACAUUUUCAUGAUGUGUCAAUAAGUCCUUUUUGUUUGUUUAAAUCAUGGUCCUCCUGAAAACAUGGAGAAAUUUAUGUUAUCUAAUGCUAUGGAAAAAUUCCUAGAGCCACAAGUACUAUUAAAUUCAACAGACAUUUUUGGAGCAUCUGCUAUAUGCCAAGCAGUGCCCCAGGCACUAGGGAGAUAAAAAUAAAGAAGACAAAGUCUCUGCCCUAAAAUGCUUAUAGUCCAAUCAGGCUGGCAGAUAUAUAAAUACCUAAAUUGAAUAUAAGCGUGCCUUGUAGGGCUUUAAGCCAAUAGUGCCCAUGAAAGAAUUUCCUUUACUUUUUCAAUUAUGAGGUUGUCUUGGACCAGCCAAUCAAAAUUCCCACCCUGCCCACAGUCCCCUGCUGAGUGAGGAUCCAUGUUCUAUGCCUGAGCGGAGCUCAUUACUCAAAAUGGGCUUAAUUGGUGAAGCCAAAAAGACCAUAUACACAUUCUCAUUUUUCCCAUGUCCACUCCAACCCCAAUUGCAGCUAGGGUGAGAGCAUGUAACUUCAAUUUGGCCAAUAAAAUGCCUUCCUUAGACCUAGAAUUGGGAAUUGGUCAUACAAGGGAGCCGAGAUGAGAAGAGCUCUCUAUAGCAGUGACUGCAACAAUGUCCAGUUUCUAGGGCCAGCAAGGGGAGGAGCAAUGAGCUUGGGUUUCCAGUGCCCAGGUGUCAGUUGCAAGUUAUGGCUUCUGCUGCUCAGUGAUCUCACGUGUCUAAUUUGGAGGUAUGAUUGGCUGGGCUUCUGGAUGUUCCCUGUUUCUGUUCAUUCUUUGAGCUUCUCUCUGGUCCAGUAUCCUUUCAUUAAAUUCAAUUUUUGCUUAAACUAGCCAAAUGAAUUCUUAGCUACUAAGAAUACUCUGUAUAUACUCGGUAUAAAGGCUCUACCUCAAUAAGAAGAAUGUUAAUUAACUAAUUUAGGUAACUUCUCCUGCUAGGACAUUCAAAUUGGAAAUAUUACAGUUGGUCAAUUGAAAUCCAGAGCAGAAGCUAAAAACACAACCCAUGGACUAUGAGACAGCAAGGACUAUGUGUAGGCUGGAAUUAUGAGUAAGCAGAAGUUAUGAAUAAGCAAAAGUUAUGAGUUAGCAGAAAUCUGCAUACAUGCAGAGGAGAGGAAGAGGUGGUUGGCUGAGAGCAGCAAGGAAACAGAAGCAAGAGGAACUGAGUCCACAUGAUGGUGAGGGAAUAAGUGAACCCUGCUCUCAAGGGGACUCCAGGCUAACCCAAUCCCUAGAUUUGCCUUGAAUCCUGUACUAUUUUCCAAUUUCCAAACUAGUUUUCCUUUUCUGAUUAACCCUGGCUAUUUCUGAGUUAAUCAGAAAUUUUGAAAUUCCAGUUGUUCUUAUUGUGAUGUAUACCUUUAUAGAAACUCCCUUAUUCCUUGAAGUAACCAGGAUAAGACUCUAUUUUAUAUGACCAAAGCAUUCUGAAGAUUGCAGGCAUGAUAUGGCUAGGACCCAGGAAACAACAGUCAAAUAGUGUAUCUUAAAAGUCACUGGUCUUCCUCUUCAAAAAUGUAUUUUCUUUUUUUCAUAUCUUACUUGAAAUUUCCAAGAGGACCUUCCUCUGGGCUGAAAAAUUAAUGGUUUAUCAGAAGCCCCUGUUUAAAAUGUACUCAAGUUUCUUGUGGGAAUGAAAAGCCAGAGGUGUUUCUCUCUACAUUAGCCAUUAGCAUGUGAGCAGAUCAUAUGAGUUCAUUCUUAAAUUUGAACUCUUAAGGGCCUGAUACUUAGGGGUUCAGCUAGGUAUAGAGCAG